CGGGACACGUGGUAUCCUGUCUGAAUAUGGGGGGACCAUCCUCCAAGGCUAAAUACUCCUGACUGACCGAUAGUGAACCAGUACCGUGAGGGAAAGGCGAAAAGAACCCCGGCGAGGGGAGUGAAAAAGAACCUGAAACCGUGUACGUACAAGCAGUGGGAGCACGCUUAGGCGUGUGACUGCGUACCUUUUGUAUAAUGGGUCAGCGACUUAUAUUCUGUAGCAAGGUUAACCGAAUAGGGGAGCCGAAGGGAAACCGAGUCUUAACUGGGCGUUAAGUUGCAGGGUAUAGACCCGAAACCCGGUGAUCUAGCCAUGGGCAGGUUGAAGGUUGGGUAACACUAACUGGAGGACCGAACCGACUAAUGUUGAAAAAUUAGCGGAUGACUUGUGGCUGGGGGUGAAAGGCCAAUCAAACCGGGAGAUAGCUGGUUCUCCCCGAAAGCUAUUUAGGUAGCGCCUCGUGAAUUCAUCUCCGGGGGUAGAGCACUGUUUCGGCAAGGGGGUCAUCCCGACUUACCAACCCGAUGCAAACUGCGAAUACCGGAGAAUGUUAUCACGGGAGACACACGGCGGGUGCUAACGUCCGUCGUGAAGAGGGAAACAACCCAGACCGCCAGCUAAGGUCCCAAAGUCAUGGUUAAGUGGGAAACGAUGUGGGAAGGCCCAGACAGCCAGGAUGUUGGCUUAGAAGCAGCCAUCAUUUAAAGAAAGCGUAAUAGCUCACUGGUCGAGUCGGCCUGCGCGGAAGAUGUAACGGGGCUAAACCAUGCACCGAAGCUGCGGCAGCGACGCUGAUGCGUUGUUGGGUAGGGGAGCGUUCUGUAAGCCUGUGAAGGUGUGCUGUGAGGCAUGCUGGAGGUAUCAGAAGUGCGAAUGCUGACAUAAGUAACGAUAAAGCGGGUGAAAAGCCCGCUCGCCGGAAGACCAAGGGUUCCUGUCCAACGUUAAUCGGGGCAGGGUGAGUCGACCCCUAAGGCGAGGCCGAAAGGCGUAGUCGAUGGGAAACAGGUUAAUAUUCCUGUACUUGGUGUUACUGCGAAGGGGGGACGGAGAAGGCUAUGUUGGCCGGGCGACGGUUGUCCCGGUUUAAGCGUGUAGGCUGGUUUUCCAGGCAAAUCCGGAAAAUCAAGGCUGAGGCGUGAUGACGAGGCACUACGGUGCUGAAGCAACAAAUGCCCUGCUUCCAGGAAAAGCCUCUAAGCAUCAGGUAACAUCAAAUCGUACCCCAAACCGACACAGGUGGUCAGGUAGAGAAUACCAAGGCGCUUGAGAGAACUCGGGUGAAGGAACUAGGCAAAAUGGUGCCGUAACUUCGGGAGAAGGCACGCUGAUAUGUAGGUGAAGCGACUUGCUCGUGGAGCUGAAAUCAGUCGAAGAUACCAGCUGGCUGCAACUGUUUAUUAAAAACACAGCACUGUGCAAACACGAAAGUGGACGUAUACGGUGUGACGCCUGCCCGGUGCCGGAAGGUUAAUUGAUGGGGUCAGCGCAAGCGAAGCUCUUGAUCGAAGCCCCGGUAAACGGCGGCCGUAACUAUAACGGUCCUAAGGUAGCGAAAUUCCUUGUCGGGUAAGUUCCGACCUGCACGAAUGGCGUAAUGAUGGCCAGGCUGUCUCCACCCGAGACUCAGUGAAAUUGAACUCGCUGUGAAGAUGCAGUGUACCCGCGGCAAGACGGAAAGACCCCGUGAACCUUUACUAUAGCUUGACACUGAACAUUGAGCCUUGAUGUGUAGGAUAGGUGGGAGGCUUUGAAGUGUGGACGCCAGUCUGCAUGGAGCCGGCCUUGAAAUACCACCCUUUAAUGUUUGAUGUUCUAACGUUGACCCGUGAUCCGGGUUGCGGACAGUGUCUGGUGGGUAGUUUGACUGGGGCGGUCUCCUCCUAAAGAGUAACGGAGGAGCACGAAGGUUGGCUAAUCCUGGUCGGACAUCAGGAGGUUAGUGCAAUGGCAUAAGCCAGCUUGACUGCGAGCGUGACGGCGCGAGCAGGUGCGAAAGCAGGUCAUAGUGAUCCGGUGGUUCUGAAUGGAAGGGCCAUCGCUCAACGGAUAAAAGGUACUCCGGGGAUAACAGGCUGAUACCGCCCAAGAGUUCAUAUCGACGGCGGUGUUUGGCACCUCGAUGUCGGCUCAUCACAUCCUGGGGCUGAAGUAGGUCCCAAGGGUAUGGCUGUUCGCCAUUUAAAGUGGUACGCGAGCUGGGUUUAGAACGUCGUGAGACAGUUCGGUCCCUAUCUGCCGUGGGCGCUGGAGAACUGAGGGGGGCUGCUCCUAGUACGAGAGGACCGGAGUGGACGCAUCACUGGUGUUCGGGUUGUCAUGCCAAUGGCACUGCCCGGUAGCUAAAUGCGGAAGA
rnacentral:rRNA from 1 species